CUAAAGGAUUUGAAGCCCUGAUUAUGUGUUUACAGAAAAGAAAAAGAAGAAAAGAAGAGCCAGGAGGAUAGGUUGUUCAGUUUACUACCGGAGACCUGAAUGUGACAGACCACCAAGGAAACUAAAUUUUCUAAGAGAGUAAAGAAGACCUUCUGCGGCGUCUGCAAGGGUCUCCUUUUUUCUUCGGAGUUACGUGGGAUAACUUAGCCAGAACUUAUUGAUGUCUGCAUGUUCAGUGGACUCGGGAAUGGACUGGGAAAUGCGGAAAGGCACUCUUUAGAAGGAACAGAAGAGGAGGCAUUUCUAAAAUCCUGCAGGUGACCGAGGUGAUGAUCUGCUGACAGAAUAAAUAAAUCAUAGAUAGUACUGAGACUACUCAGCCAUUUGCUGUGGUAUCACUCCUACAUAAGGAACCUGCAUCACUCUCUUUCUUCAAGUAUGUUCUCUCCUGUGCUUCAAAUGACAAGCAAGUCUUCUCCCAGUCCCCAAAUAUUCAAGAAGAUAUCGGCUAUAUCCAUGAGACUAAACUGUGACAAGCUAACACCUGGACCAUACACUGUGAGUUCAGUGGAUUAUUUAUGAAGCCAAACGUCAUUCAUAGAUAUGAACAAGAGAAAUGACACCCUGGCCUAUUGUUGCCCUCCGCCCUCCCUUCUAAUAUACAAAAUAUAAGAAGGACUUCAGGAAAUUUUACUUUAUGGGAGGAGUCAAAAUUAAGAAUUGUGAUGAUGAAAAUUGUCAGUUAGAGUAACCCACAAAAAGUCAAUUGUUUGCAAGGCGUUGGGAGCUUGGCAAGAAAGUGUCAAAACAAUAGCACACGAUGGCUCUGUUUUAAGACUAUAGGUGCUUUGCAGAGUAACAUUAAUGAGCUCUAAAACUUUGGGGAAGGUUAAACCAAUCUAAACUCACUGGGUGCUUUGGUUUAAUUUAGACAUACAUUAAUGUUGCUUGAUGCUGAGGAGUAGAAAGAAACUUUAUGUAAUCCACUAAAUAUGCUGUCGUGUUGUGUUAGCAAAACUAUCAGAAUUAAUAAAACAAAGUAUAUAUAACAAAAUUAUUUACAAUUGCAAAAUAAAUUAUAAUGCAGCAAAUCAAAAUAAUAGCAAAUGCAAAUGAAGAAAUAGUAAAGUGAAAUAUUGCAUUUAAAGGUAAAAGUUAACAUUGGUUUCCAUUUAAGAAAUUACUAAAAUGAUGAUUUAGGAUUUGAUGCAAAAUGUAUUGGCAAAGGAUUGUUUCUGGAGCAAGGCACCACUGUUUGUUCUAACAUCAGUAAAUUCAUUGUGAAGAAGCAUGAGUGUAGAAAAUUUCUCCACCCAUUCUUCCAUCCCUACUCCUUUCAGAAUUGUAGAUAUGCUUCUGUGUGUCACCAGGACAUAAUAAAAUGUAGCACAUUUCUUAAAAGCUAUUCAGUUCCCUCUCUUUUAUGCAGGUGCAUAAAAAAUGCUUUUGUUGGCUCAGGCAUUGAUAAAGUAAUAGCAAUUUCUGCAAGCUUAACUAUUCAAUUUCAUUAUUUAUUUGGA